GGGGCUGACCGGUUUUGACAGCAGCGUGAGGGGACAGUAAGCAUGCAGGCUCAAGCAUCAGAAGCCUUGAAAACGGAUGCAGAACAAUAAUUGGCGAAAAUAACUACGCUCUUGCUGCCUAACCGAAGCACAGUAGGUUAGCUUAAUCCCCGCAACAGUUGUGGGGACAAGACAUCUCCCGGAGACCUCGCUCUCUGGCGUCCGACAAGGAGGUGCUCAGAAAAGAGAGAUAGCCGAAGGCCAGCUUCGAGCCGACGGUGAAGAUUUAGAAGCUAAGGUUGGCGUUGGGUGCCGAUGUCCAUCACCAACACGAAAACCAAUCACCGGAUAAGCAUGUAGAAAGCUUUUCUGUCAACUGUUUGGACGAGGGUUCGACCCCCUCCAGCUCCACU
rnacentral:tmRNA from 1 species